GUGCCAGCAGCCGCGGUAAAACGUAGGAGACGAACGUUAUCCGGAGUUACUGGGCGUAAAGGGCGUGCAGGCGGCCUGAUAAGUCCGGCGUGAAAUCUUUCGGCUUAACCGGGGGAUGUCGUCGGAGACUGUCGGGCUAGAGGGUGAUAGAGGCGUGUGGAAUUCCGGGUGUAGUGGUGAAAUGCGUAGAGAUCCGGAGGAACACCAGUGGCGAAGGCGACACGCUGGGUCAUACCUGACGCUAAUACGCGACAGCAUGGGGAGCGAACGGGAUUAGAAACCCGCGUAGUCC
rnacentral:rRNA from 1 species